CCUACGGGUGGCAGCAGUGGGGAAUAUUGCACAAUGGGGGGAACCCUGAUGCAGCAACGCCGCGUGGGUGAAGAAGUACUUCGGUAUGUACAGCCCUGUCAGCAGGGAAGAAAAUGACGGUACCUGACCAAGAAGCCCCGGCUAACUACGUGCCAGCAGCCGCGGUAAUACGUAGGGGGCAAGCGUUAUCCGGAUUUACUGGGUGUAAAGGGAGCGUAGACGGCAAGGCAAGUCUGGAGUGAAAGCCCGUGGCUCAACCACGGGACUGCUUUGGAAACUGUGUUGCUGGAGUGCAGGAGGGGUGAGGGGAAGUCCUGGUGUAGCGGUGAGAGGAGUAGAUAUUAGGGGGAACACCGGUGGCGAAGGCGGCUUACUGGACUGUAACUGACGUUGAGGCUCGAGGGCGUGGGGAGCAAACAGGAUUAGAUACCCGAGUAGUC
rnacentral:rRNA from 1 species